UAAUGUCUGGGAAACUGCCUGAUGGAGGGGGAGUAACUACUGGAAACGGUAGCUAAUACCGCAUAACGUCGCAAGACCAAAGAGGGGGACCUUCGGGCCUCUUGCCAUCGGAUGUGCCCAGAUGGGAUUAGCUAGUAGGUGGGGUAACGGCUCACCUAGGCGACGAUCCCUAGCUGGUCUGAGAGGAUGACCAGCCACACUGGAACUGAGACACGGUCCAAACUCCUACGGGAGGCAGCAUG
rnacentral:rRNA from 1 species